rnacentral:rRNA from 1 species
AGCGAACGCUGGCGGCAGGCUUAACACAUGCAAGUCGAACGGGCGUAGCAAUACGUCAGUGGCAGACGGGUGAGUAACGCGUGGGAACGUACCUUUUGGUUCGGAACAACCCAGGGAAACUUGGGCUAAUACCGGAUAAGCCCUUACGGGGAAAGAUUUAUCGCCGAAAGAUCGGCCCGCGUCUGAUUAGCUAGUUGGUGUGGUAACGGCGCACCAAGGCGACGAUCAGUAGCUGGUCUGAGAGGAUGAUCAGCCACAUUGGGACUGAGACACGGCCCAAACUCCUACGGGAGGCAGCAGUGGGGAAUAUUGGACAAUGGGCGCAAGCCUGAUCCAGCCAUGCCGCGUGAGUGAUGAAGGCCCUAGGGUUGUAAAGCUCUUUCAGCAGGGACGAAGCGGAAGUGACGGUACCUGCAGAAGAAGCACCGGCCAACUACGUGCCAGCAGCCGCAGUAAU